UCGUGAAUAUACAGCUAAAACAAGGAUUAUUUGGUCAAAACACGCGUGCAUAUGGCAACAGGACAUAUACAGCAGAAGUACAGAAAAAAGCAGACAAGAAUUCAACUUUGAACAUCGUGCAUCUUUGAAGUCUCUUUAAAAUUGACCAAAUUCCUUGUUUGUUUCCGCUGUUUUCGAGUAGAUCGUUUCGAUCUGAUCAUCAAAGAGAAAGUAGUCGGUGUUUUAAACAAAUACCAAUCGAUCGUGAUCGCCCGGCAUGAAAAUAAGAACGACGCGAUCGGCAGCUGCGCGCGGGGGAUAAUCCGAGAAAGCUGCAACAGGACUCCGGGUAUCCUCGGUCUUCCUUCUCAAGGAGGCCAAUCUAACUCCGAAAACGUCGGCCCGAAAACCGAGAACAGCGAACGCAUAUUUGACCCUGAAGACAUGCAACACGCUCGUAGCCUUUCCGUCGCGUUCUUAGCCGCUUAAGUCGCGCGUUUUAUCCUCUCCGAUUACAAAGUCAGAAACGGCUAUCGCUCUCUCCCUUUUCUCUGCUUCUUAUACCACGGGCAAUCCAGCUUCCCCGGUGGUAGUGACUUGUUAAUUUGUUUGCCAUCACGUUUAUUACAACUGCGUUCUACGUCGUGCACGCACAUCUGCGAUAUGGCCGGACAAUGAAACGUGUAUUGUUUCCUGCCUGCCGGAUGUCGCCGUUCACAUGUCUCGGAUUAAGGGAUGCUAAUCGGAAAUCGAAAGAAGUUGUCAUUCAUAUGGGAGUUCCGGCAGAAAAGGAAGGAACAUGCGUGUGGUCGUGUCGAAUAGCCGUUCUCCUGCGAUAAUCUAACGGAUAUGAACAAUUAUAACGAAAUAUUCGAACACACCUGGCGAUGCAUGAUGGAAAGUGAUCUCGGUCGACCUCGCUCAAGUCAGAAGCACCACAAAUGAAGCUGACUAUCGUACCGACUACAAUUACAAUCAGGACGCCCA